rnacentral:rRNA from 1 species
UCGGGAAUUUUGGGCAAUGGGCGAAAGCCUGACCCAGCAACGCCGCGUGAGGGAUGAAGCAUUUCGGUAUGUAAACCUCGAAAGAAUGGGAAGAAUAAAUGACGGUACCAUUUAUAAGCUCCGGCUAACUACGUGCCAGCAGCCGCGGUAAUACGUAGGGAGCAAGCGUUGUUCGGAUUUACUGGGCGUAAAGGGCGCGUAGGCGGCGCGGUAAGUCACUUGUGAAAUCUCUGAGCUUAACUCAGAACGGCCAAGUGAUACUGCUGUGCUAGAGUGCGGAAGAGGCAACCGGAAUUCUUGGUGUAGCGGUGAAAUGCGUAGAUAUCAAGAGGAACACCUGAGGCGAAGGCGGGUUGCUGGGCCGACACUGACGCUGAUGCGCGAAAGCCAGGGGAGCAAACG